CAGUACAGGACUGUUUGUAGAAAUCUAGUUCAUCAUCGGACCUGUGGAGGGCAGUAGUACGCUAGACAGCGUCCAAACUGCCGGAAUCUGACAACAAGAAGAAGAGCGGACGACCCUCGACCUGCGUACACACGUGGUUAAAACAAGCAUAGAAGUCCUACAAAAAGUAACCAGCUCCGUUAUGCUCACCCAUUUUAAGGGUCCUGCAGGCCCUCCAGAAGCUGAAGCAGCCCCAGACGGUGAUAGGUGGGCAUCUUGGAAAAACGCAUGUCUCUCUACAAAGAUCGGCAGAAAGUGCCGUGAUGGUGGCUCUGGACGGGUCGAAAUGAGUGGAUGAAGCUUCAACUUCAGAACCCGGCAGAAACCCCAACUUGUCAAUGGUAUAACUCAGAAUUGAGCACUACCAUUUGGAGUGGAAAUGAGUGGUUCAAGUUAAGGCCCAGGCAGAAACGCCAAAUUGUCAAUGGUACAUAGCCGAAUUGAGCACUAUCCAAGGGACCAUUUGGCGUGGACGUCGGAGGUUUAGGUUCAGAAACAGACAGGAACCCCUACUUGUCAAUGGCACAACUCCGAAUUGAACACUAUUCAAGGAACCAUUUGUAGUGGACUUCAGUGCAAGAAAAGUCCAGUGCCGUGAAGCGGGAUGGUGUCUCUUGAGUUGCCAAAUGAGUGGCGGAUAAAGACCCUUAGAAACCAUCCAGCUUGGAGAUUACAUUUAAGCAUGCCGACGUGUAACUCAUCACUGAAGUCAGCAGUGAGUGACUAGAGCUCUGAGUACUGGAGAAUCCACAUGGGUUCUGGCUCGAGGAAACCCAUGGCUUUGAAUGUCGUUGGCUAAGCCUUUCUUUGUUUUGAUCUUGUCCAGCAAAGUUUGACUAUUAUUGGAUUAAAUGCAUUUCUAAAGACCA